CACGUAGGGCGCAAGCGUUGUCCGGAAUUAUUGGGCGUAAAGAGCUCGUAGGCGGUCUGUUGCGUCCGCUGUGAAAACUCGGGGCUUAACCCCGAGCCUGCAGUGGAUACGGGCAGACUAGAGGUAGGUAGGGGAGAAUGGAAUUCCCGGUGUAGCGGUGAAAUGCGCAGAUAUCGGGAGGAACACCGGUGGCGAAGGCGGUUCUCUGGGCCGAUACUGACGCUGAGACGCGAAAGCGUGGGGAGCGAACAGG
rnacentral:rRNA from 1 species